AAUCCCAUUAUGCGGGACACAAAUUCCCUGGGUUUCUGGAUGUACCCCUAAAUAUAGGGGCACCCCAUUAAAUAUUACAUCCCCUGGUAGCCCUGAUCUGGGUGGGUGACAUAUCCAAAAAUCACCCAGAUCGGACGAGGGGUUCGGGAGAUUUGUGGAAGUAAUUAAAAGACCGACCGCGCUGGAGGUAACAGCCGAAAUUGGUUCCAUGCGUUUUGGCCCUGCGGUUGGUCACAGAAAAAGGGAAUAACCUGCACAAAAGACUUGGGCUAUGGAGACUAGGGAAGGUUUGCAUGAAUCCCCUUGUUUGGGUGCUUCAUUCCCUUCAAGGACCCAUCUCCACCCUCUGGGGGAGCCUCUCCCCCAUGAUCCUGCUCUUAAAGUGUUAUGUCUCGCAUUGGC